UACGGAGGAUCCGAGCGUUAUCCGGAUUUAUUGGGUUUAAAGGGUGCGCAGGCGGGAGAUUAAGUCGGCGGUGAAAUUUUGCAGCUCAACUGUAAAAGUGCCAUCGAUACUGGUUUUCUUGAGUGUGGAUGAAGUAGGCGGAAUUUGUGGUGUAGCGGUGAAAUGCAUAGAUAUCACAAGGAACACCGAUUGCGCAGGCAGCUUACUAAACCAUAACUGACGCUCAGGCACGAAGGCGUGGGGAGCAAACAGGAUUAGAUACCCUGGUAGUCCACGCAGUAAACGAUGAUUACUAGCUGUUUGCGAUACAAUGUAAGCGGCUGAGCGAAAGCGUUAAGUAAUCCACCUGGGGAGUACGUUCGCAAGAAUGAA
rnacentral:rRNA from 1 species